rnacentral:lncRNA from 1 species
GCCUUGUGAAGGAAACGUACUCUUACUCCUUCUGCAGAUGUGGAGACAGAGGCAGAAAAAAAGCCAUGCCCAAAGUGACACAGGUUUGAACUGAAACAUUAGCUCUUCCUGGGUCUCAAGCCUGUGGGCCUCCAGACUGGAAGUACACCGUUGGCUCUCCUGGGAUCUCCAGCUUGCCAAUUUACCCUGCGGAUCUUGGGAUUUGCCAGCUGCCAUAAUUUUGUAAAGAAGCUGAUUCUCAGGGAGGUUUGAUGAAUUAUCUAAGCUUAAGGCUACCAGCUGAAAAGUGGCAGAACUGAGAUUUGACCUCAGGUCUGAUCCGAAUCCUUACCUGUGUUUUCUACCCUCGGAACAGGUUGCUUCCCCGAUCAGCUUUCAAGAGAAGUAUUUUUCUGCCUUACUUUUAGAAAAGAGUCUCAGGGAGAUUAGAUAACUUGUCUAAGGACACCCAAUUAAUGAAUGGAAGAGUGGGGUUUUGAACCUAGGGCUUACUCACUCCAAAACCUGAGUUUACUGAGGUUCAUUAUUAAGAAAUAUGUCCUAAAUGGAGAAGAACAUGUUUAUAUCCAUGAUAGGUCCAUGUUAUUUCUUUGUUUUAAAAACAAUGUUUUGUUCUGUUUGUGUGUUUUAAAAGUCAUGUUUUGCAAACGCCAAAUUGUAACAGAAAGCAGGUUGUAAAGGAACUGGUGAGAGUUAUUGCCCAGAAAAACCAGCUGGGAAGCAUUUCAGUGUCAAUCUUAUUAUUGAUUUUAAAUUAGCAGUGACUUCAAAAGCCUUUGAAGUCGCUGGCAGGGAAUGCCUGGAUUGGGGAAAACAGUCACCAGAGGGUGUUCGCAGCAGGCAUGUGCUUUAUAAAUGUUCCUCCUCGUUAUGCUUUGGCACUGAGAAAGGUUGGAAAGAGGGUAGUGGGAUCUUAGCAGGAAGCUUCUAGCUGAUGUGGAUUGCCAGGAAGACCCAAUUAGCCUGUCCCUCUCAGUAGCAGAAGCCCAAGCAGAGGGAAUAAAUUAUUUGUGGCAGUGGCUACAGCUGCUGACAACUUCAGAGAGACCACCCAUGAGGACUUUCCAUGCCAAGCUGACUAGAAAGCCCUGAGAGUCUCUAACCCCAGGGGCCUGAUGGAAUCCAACCUGAGAGUGGAACUAAGUUAAAUUAAUGGUGGUUCAUAACACCUGAAGAAUGUGUCAAGCUGUCUCUGUCUCCUACCUGAACCUCUAUCUGAAGACCUCCACUGGCCAUCCUCCAAGACUGGGUUCAGAAUUCACCUCUUUGAAACCUCUGACAUGUCCUUGGACUUCUCUUGAUCCAAAUAGAAGUGACCUAUCUGUUCGUCUGUCCCUCCCUCCAUCCAUCCAUCCAUCCAUCCAGCAUUUGAUGACUUCCUACUUUGUGCCUGAUGUUACCAAUCCCUGGGGAUGCCACUCAUCUAAAAGUAGACAAGGUCCCUCUCCUCCUCACGAUGCUUCAGUCUUGGGAAGAGUAUAGAGACUACCCAACGGGCAAACUAAAGAUGUGCCUGGGGCACCAAUAAAGGAGGAACACCAAGAAAUUGUUUGGAAGUAGGGAAAACCAGAAGCACAAGAGGGUUAGAGUCCCUGGAAGCAGCGCUCCCACCUCAACCAAUGGUGAAUAGGAGGUGAUAAAUAGCCCAGCGUCAUCACCCAAUGGCAGUACCACUUGGAAGCAAGCUCUGCAAUAUGUCCCAGAGUUCUCAGUUCCUGCUUCACUUCUGCUCCUCCCACAAAGCUCAACCCUUUCUGCUGGGUGUGAGGAGAUUAACCAAGAAAAACAGAUGACGCAAACAGCUUCCAAGGAGGAGUUCAUUUUGGAGGCUCUACUGUUUAGAUGGUACUUUUCCCCUCUUCUUCGCUUACAACAACCCUAACUUGGCUUCCACUCUGACACCUAAUUAGGUCACCUCUUGUUCUAUGGAGCUCUAAGUAUUGUGUCCUUAUCCCAGGAAGCAGGAAGAUGAUAAGGUAUUAGGGGAAAAAGGAUGUAACUUCCAGGUAAGUGAGCUCCCCUUAAGGAGUUUUCUCAGAGGUCCCACAUACAACUUGAACUUACAUCUUGUUGAAGAGGACUUAGUCAUCUUGUCCCGCCUAGCUGCCAGGAAGUCUGGGAAAUGUAACCAUUCAUCUGGGUGUAUCACCACCUUGAAUAACCAGGGGGUCUGCUACUAAGGCAAAAGGGGACAGAUGAUAUUGGGUACCAUCAAAUAUUUUCUCUUUAGCUCCCCAACAUCCCAACCUACAUUUUUCCAUAUGUAGAAUGUAACACCUCUCCAAGAGAGAAGACUCCAAUAUCUCAUCCAGGUACCGUAUUUUGUUGAAAUCUAGGAUCUCAGAAGAUGUGUAGUUCUCUCCACCAGAUCCGAUUAUGUCUCCUUGAACUCCAUUGACCUAUAAACUAAAAUAACCUAUCUGCUUCUCACUUCCCACACACCCAACAAUCGGUGGUGAAGCAGAAACAGUAUACCUGCAGAAUGAACCCCCAUUUUGUAAAGGGGAGGAUGGGACAACCACAGCAGCCACCAGUUCAUGGACAACGACAACUCCCAUGGGGCAGGCCCUUGUUUAAAAACUUAGAAGGUUUUGUUCUAUAUGCUUCUGGAAAGUUUCAUGAACAAGUAACCACUGCCAAAAAUCUUAUCCAGCUAGAGGUUGUAAACCUGAAGGCUCUUGGAUUUUACUUACAGAUCUCUGUGUUCAGUCCAUUCUUCUCUCCCAACUUGAUAGCCAUCAGAAACAAUAGGCUUUGGUCAGGAAGCAAUUCACUAAUUCCCAUUUUACCAACACACCUAUUUAAUGCCAAAAUUUCAGCUGUUGCACCUGCUAAUAAUGAAUUCUGGUUAGCUAAUAAUCUUUAAGGUUUUCAGCUAUCUAGAUGACAGUCUGUAGGCAAAGCAAAACUGUACUUCCUAUGAUUUCUUCUUGUAAAUUGAUAGGUGUUUGACUUUAUUUCAUGUGGAACUUUGCUAAAAGUGUCAGAUGAUGUUGUCACAAACCAACUGUGGUAGGCAGCCUCUAAGAUGGUCCCCAAUGAUCCCCACCUCCUGGUAUUUACUUAUAUAAUCUACUUAUCUUGAGUGUGGGCUGGAUUUAGUGACUCACUAUUUAUUAAAAGAAUGUAGCAGAGGUGAUGGAUGCCACUUGUGAGAUUAGGAUUUGGGUGCUUUCUCUCUCUCUCACUCUAUCACUUGCUCUCUCUAAGGGUAACCAGCUGCCAUGUUCUGAGCUACCCUCUGGAGAGCUCCCAUGGCAAGAAAUUAAGGGAGGACUUUGAUCAAUAUCCACAGGAACUGAGACUUUUAGUCCGAUAGGCUCUGUAGAACUGAAUCCUGCUUAUAACUAUGUCAGUGAGCUUGUAAGUGGAUCUCAGUCGAGCCUUAGAUGAAACUGAAGCCCUCGGUGGUACCUUGAUUGCAACCCUAAAAGAAAUCUUGCUCAAGAGGGACUCAGCUUAUCCACACUGGGAAAGACAGAAGAAAGCAUACAGAGAAACAAAUAACCAAGAGAAAAAAAGUUGGAUCUUCAACCAGUGGGCAAGAGAAUUCCAGGAAGAGACAUCAUAUUGUGCAAAGGUAUGAAGUUGUGGAGAGCAUGGCACAAUCUGAGACCAAGAGUCCACUGGUGAUGUGACAGCAUAGAUCACAGGGUAGGGAAAUGGCUGAGGCUGCAGGGACGAGCUGUGGACAAAGAGCUGAGGGCUGUCCUGCUAGUCAGGAUUCUUUUCCAUCACAGAAACCUAGCCAGAGAAUUGAAAUAGGAUGGGCUUUUGGGCACAGAAUGGGUAUGGGCAGAAAAGGACUUGGCCCCAGAGAAAUGGACCCAAGAUCAAAGACAUCUUAUUGCAAAGAUGAAAUGUCCCCAUGUAGUGAGAAAUACGUCAUUGAUAAUCUAGGAUUAUUUCUUUCCAACCUAAUGACUUGAAAUAAAAGGAACUCUUCUGUUAGAAAAGAAUAAAUCCCAGGGAACACUGACUGGCUUUGAUUGGGUCAUGUGAUCUUCCUACAUCAGCAAUCACUGUGACUAGGGGAUGGGGAAAUCUGAUGGACUUGACUUGGCUUACUUACCCAUAUGUAUCUAUGGUGGGGUCAGGGUCUGUUUACCGAAGAAGGAGGUGAAAGGAUCCUGGCCACACUGAAACCAAGUAAUAGUCCCAGAGCCUUGACUGCUAUGCUAGGGAGUUUGGGUUUCAUCUGAGGCUGGCAGAAAUCAUUUUUAGGUUUUAAGAACAGAGAUGAAAUACUCAGAUGUAUGUUUGGAAAGAGCACCCCAGGCUCAGCGGGGAGAGAUGGUUGAGUAGAUGGAGUCUGGAAGACCCAUUGUGAUGCUAAUGGCAUAAUCCAAGUAAGGCUUUAGAACGGGGCUGUGCACAUGUUGCUGGGAGUGUGUGAGGAUUUAAGAGAGAACAGAGGACAUUGAUGUUUCCUAUCAGGUUCCAAGUGGAGAAAGAUGAGAACACACUAGCCACUGUGUGAAUCGUUGACAAGGUGAAUUGUUGAAAAGGUCUUUUAAGAGGUCAUUCAGGUUCAACAAUUGGCCAGUAUCCUAGACUUAUUUAUGAUUUUACUGAAGCUAAAUUGGCGCAAGGUGCAGAAAACUUGCUUUUCUGAUUGGGAUGAUAAUAUUUCAGUUUAACAGAUAUGCAACACCCACUAUGUGCCACGCCCAAAGCUUUUUGUAUUUUUCAAGAUGGGUAAAACAAGUCUCUGCCAGAACAAAGUAGCUUAAUAAUCCCAAGUUUGUAAAGAACACAUUGUAUGUCUACCCAUUAUCUCCUUCAAUCUUUACCAUAGGCCUAUGGAGAAGCACAGAAGACAUCCUGACCUCCAUUACACACUUUCUAUGAGAAGUGAACUGACUUUCUCAGUCCCUUUGGGAGAAUCUUCUUCAGUCCUGCCCACUCUGGUCUCCUGAAACCCACACAUCUUGGCUUUUUUCUAUGCCAUGAGAACUAAGGGAUUCCCUUAGGCAGCUGUGGGCUGGUAAAUGUUGAGCAGCAGAUGCUCUGAGCAGUGUUUGCUGAUUGUCGUGGUGUGAAUACUCGCACCAUGGCAAUUUAGUGUGACAUCACUGAACAUAGAAUUGGAAAGAGUUGUGCACGAUGAGUUCUCUUGAAUCUGAAGUUUCAGUGGUCUCAACAGCCAAUCCAAACUGGACCCUGGAGGGCAGAGUGGAAAGCCAUCCUCUUGGAGUUUGGUCUAUGUGAUCUGUUAUGGGUUGAAUUGUGUCCCCCACAAAAAUAUAUGGAAAUCCUAAUCACCAAGUCAUCAGAAUGUUACCUUAUUUGGAAAAAGGGUCAUCGUAGAUGUAGUUAGUUAAGAUGAGGUCAUACUGGAGUAGGGUGGGCCUCUAAUCCAGUAUGACUGGUGUCCUUGAAAGAAGACAACCAUGUGAAGAUACAGAGACACAGAGAGAAGGUUAUGUGAAGAUGGAAGCAGAGGUUGGAGUGAUGCAUUUACAGGCUGAGGAACUCCUGAGGCUGCUAGAAGCUGGAAGAAAUAAGGAUGGAUUAUCCCCUAGGGGUUUCAGAGGGAGUAAGGCUCUACUAAUACCUUGAGUUUAGAUUCUAGCCUCCAGAUCUGUGAGACAACACGUUUCUGUUGUUUUAACUCACCCACUUUGUGGCACGAAUGGUCCCUGUCUUUUCUCCUACCCUGCACCACCUGGUUUGAAAUACUGCUGCCUUGGGCAAAAUCCCACUGUGUUUGUGUUUUAUGGUUCCAGUGUUCUUUCAUUCCAGUCCUUCUCCAUCUGGAUCAUAUUACAGGAAUCUAGUGCAAUGAGCUAAAAUAUGGGAGAGUCCAUUGCCUUAAAGAGAUAAGAAAGUCAUCUUAUCAGCUAUAAUUAGUUGAAUACAUACUAGGUCUCAGAUGCUAUACUAGGUGUUUGUCAUGUGUUGCCACAUUUAAUUUAAUCUUAACGAUAAGCCUAUGAUUAGGCAUAAUUAUCCUUAUUCUACAAAUGGGGAGACAGAAGCUCAGUGAUAUUAGGUAACUUGCCUAAGGUCACAGAGCUAGUUAAGGACUGCAGGGUUGUCAACUCAGGUGUGGUAGACUGAGAUUCUGCACAACAUCUUAGCACUCCACCCUGUGGCCAAUUUGUGGGAGCCUCAAUGGGCUACCACUGCACAAACACCUCAGCAAUUGCCCCAUCUGGACCCAGAGAUAAAGUAUGAUCUGAGGACAGAGGAAGAAGAUGGAGGAUGGUUAGAGAAAUCAGGUCAAUUGAAUGAGUAACCCUGAAUCCCUUUGGUAAGCUUAUCUACAUCUAGUGGUUGCCAUUUGCACGUGGCAAUAAUAAUGAUAUGCCCUCAGUGAUAGUGUAUUAACCUUAAUUCCUUAUAUGUGUACAACACUGAACCUCUGUGAUGGGUUUUUACUUGAAUGGCUCUCAUCACUUCUCAGGCUGUGGAGCCAGAGAGAUCUGGGUUCGCAUUAACCAGUGGUCACAUCUUGAGCAAGUUGCUUUAUCAUUCGUGAGUAAUGAUUCACUUCCCUCACUUGGAACCUUGUAAGGGUGUUGGAAGGACUAAAUGAGGUAAUGUGGAGUGGGUCCAGUAUAUAGCAGAUAUUAGUGGAGCAAGUUUAUUCUUCCUGUUUGUGUGAGAAAGGAGUUUUCCCCAGUACUUCUGGCCUCUGGAGCAGUAUGUAGGUCCAUGCCCAGGAUCCAAACCGGCAAACCCUGGGCCGCAGAAGUGGAGAGCACAAACUCAACCACCAUGCCACUGGGCCAGCCCCUGCUUACCAUCUUUAUAUCCCUCUUAUAGGUUGAAUUUUGUUCUCCAAAAGAUAUGUUGAAUUCCUAACCCCUGAUACUUACGAAUGAUACCUUAUUUGGAAAUAAAGUCUUUGCAGAUGUAAUCAAGUUAAAAUAAGGUUAUUAGGAUGGGCCCUUAAUCUAACAUGACUGGUGUUCUUAUAAGAAAAGAGAAACACCAUGUAAAGACAGAAGCACACAGGAGAGAAUGUCUUGUGACCAAGGAGACAGAAAUGCUGCAGCUACAAGCCAAGGAAUGCCUGGAACUGUUGAAAAAUAAGGAGGUGGCUUUCUAUUAUCAUCUCUCUAUUCUGAGGUGAAUGAGAGACCUGGGGCCAAGAUAAAAGAAGAGCUAGGACGGUGGGGGGGGGACCCAUGUAUAUUGAGCACCUACUAUGUGUGUAUCCCCCGCUGAGUGCAUUGCAGAUGUCUCAUUUCAUCCUCACACCCCAUAAGGUGAGUGCUUUGUUCUCAUUUUCCAGAUGAGGAAACUUUAGUCAAAAAUAUUGGAUACCCAGCUCAAGGUCCCACAACGAACAAGGGACUGAGAAAAUUCCAGAGAGGUCUGUCUAAUUCCAACACCUGCCUGUGAUCUUUCUACUUUAUGCAAAGCAAUUAAGGCAAUAGGCAAAGUUUUAAGCACAGAUGGCCACUAUCAGGGGUCAUUGUAUUUGCUCUGAAAUGAGGAGAGAGGAGAGUCUUGAUGGAGCCACCCAGUUAGGUAACAGAGAGGUAGCAUAGCAGAGUGGUCAGGAUGCUGGCUCUGGAGGCCCCCUGCCUGAGCUCCACUGCCAUUCCACCUCCGCACUGACUCACUAGGUGCCUUUGCCAUGUGGCUUCAUCUCUCUAUGCCUCAGCUUCCUGGCUUGAUGUGUGGCAAUAACAGGAUCAGGGAUUAUAGAGCUGCUGUGAGGAUUAAAUGAGCAUCACAUAAAGGCACUUAGAACAAUUUGUCACACGGUGAGCAGGACAUAAAUGCUUGUUGCUGUUAUUAUUUUUUAUUAUUCUAAAAUGUGACCUGUAGAAAACCCCCCUCCCUCCCCAAAAGGCAUAAUGAUACCACCAGGAUGACUGUCUCCUAAGCAUAGCUCCCAGGACAUGCUUCUGGUCUACCCUCUGCCCCUGUGACUUCCAAAAUCUCAGCUGAGCUGGAAUAUUGUGUUUCUAAUUAGACAAGUGUCUGCUGUGUUGGCUAAUAAUGCUUUUCACAAGGCUUUUUGGUGAUGCAGGGUGAUGGCUGUAAUGUUUCAUAGCCAUUGAUAAGAACACAAUCUGGAGGGAAAGUGCUAACAUGUAAUUUGCAGUCAUGACUUCCAGCAUUAAUUAAAAAAAUGUCUCUGUGGUCCCUGAUUUCAAGGCGCUGUCUACUGCUUCUCUGAAGGGUAUUGAAAUGCUUCACCCGGAUCAGGCGCACAGGCCCUGUGCCCAGCUACUACUUCUUCCCAGCAGGACUGCCUGUCUGUGGGGAGCUCUCGGACUUCUGAAAUGUGUUCUGGGUGUCCUGUGUAAAUGGUGUGAGCUGGAAAGCUGUUACUUAAACUUGGGAGGCUUAGCUGAAGCAGAGGACGAAUGAAUCAGGGGUGAUAUGCUUUGGGGGCAUUUCAGCAUGCUUUGUUUUUCAAUUCUGGUGACUAUUUUUCUAGGACCACAAUGACCUGCUCUUACCUGACAAGCCAACUAUAUUUCCUUUCUCUCGUGGGAUGUGGUUAUCAGAAAAAUAGAUCAGAGUCAAUAGAUAGAUUUAGUCCAGCUUUGAGGAUUUUGCUCAUCAAGUAUCAUGCAUAGGGGUGAUGUGACAAUUAGGGCACAGGGAUGAGAGCUCUCUUUUUCAAAGGAAGUCGCUGCCUUUCUGGCACUGGUACAAGCAUACCUUUAUGCUUCUCUCUGCCAGGAUGGCCAGUUCUUGCAGUUAAAAAUUCCAAACACAAAGGUCUCUUAAUCCAAUGGUAAAAAGAAAAAAAAUCACAAAUUAUGCAGAAUUUGCUGGCUUUGAGGAGGAUAAAAGGGGAUCUCCAUUGGAUGUAUAGUAUGUUUGACAGCUGGAUUGAAAUUUGAAGAUAUGAUGAAAGUACAGAACAAGAAUAAAAAAAUAAUUAGAAGCUCCACAGAAAGCAAAAUAGUCUAUAAGAAUGUAAUGAUCCUCCCCAAACAAAUUAAUCUGGUAAAAAUCUGUAGAUUUCAAGACAUGAAUUUCACACAAUAGAUAGAAAAUAGGCAAAAUGGAAAAGAAAUUAUCACACAUAUAACCUGUGCAAAUAGAUUAGAAUGCAGAUACAUGCACACACACCUCUCUUCACGUCUGAUACACUCAUACAAAUGAAAGGGCUCGUAAACACUGCUUUGUGCCUUCCAUUUUUUAAGCUUACUAUAUAUUGUGGAAUUUUCAUGUUGCUAUAUAUACCAUUC